CGCACAUUGCGCCCUUUGGUAUUCCGAAGGGCAUGUCUGUCCGAGCGUCAUUAUCAACCCUCAAGUUUAGGCUUGGUUUUGAAGUUUGAGAUGAGAAUUUCAACUUCUAAAGAAAAUGGUGGUUGUCUGAACAAACCCAGUACAAUGAGUCUUCAUGGCACGUAUUGAGGUGACUUUGGACAUUGCCUUACAACAAAUCUUCAAGGUUGACCUCGGAUCAGAUAGGGAUACCCGCUGAACUUAA
rnacentral:misc_RNA from 1 species